rnacentral:tRNA from 2 species
GGGCGGUUAGCUCAGCUGGUUAGAGCGCCUGCUUUACACGCAGGAUGUCGGGAGUUCGAAUCUCUCACCGCCUACCA